rnacentral:rRNA from 1 species
CCUACGGGAGGCAGCAGUGGGGAAUAGUGCACAAUGGGCGAAAGCCUGAUGCAGCAACGCCGCGUGAAGGAAGAAGGGUUUCGGCUCGUAAACUUCUAUCAACAGGGACGAAAGAAAUGACGGUACCGGAAUAAGAAGCCCCGGCUAACGACGGGCCAGCAGCCGCGGUAAUACGUAGGGGGCAAGCGUUAGCCGGAAUUACUGGGUGUAAAGGGGGAGUAGGCGGCAUGGGAAGCCAGAGGUGAAAGCCUUGGGCUUAACCCGAGGAGUUCCUUUGGAACAAUCAAGCUAGAGUACAGGAGAGGCAAGCGGAAUUCCUCGUGUAGCGGUGACAUGCGUAGAUAUUAGGAAGCACACCAGUGUCGCCGGCGGCUUUCUGGACUGAACCUGAUGCUGCGGCACG